AGGACGAACGCUGGCGGUGUGCUUAACACAUGCAAGUGGAGCGACGAACCAGGGCUUGCCCUGGGGCAGAGCCGCGAACGGGUGAGUAACACGUGGGUGACGUACCCCGAUGACUGGGACAACCCGAGGAAACUCGGGCUAAUACCGGAUAUGUCCGACUCUCACGAGGGAGUUGAGCAAAGGAAGCUUCGGCCUCCGCAUCGGGAGCGGCCCGCGGCCCAUUAGCUAGCUGGUGAGGUAAUGGCUUACCAAGGCGACGACGGGUA
rnacentral:rRNA from 1 species